rnacentral:lncRNA from 1 species
UAAAAGAGACAAUUCCAUUAUUGUAUUUAUUGCUUUAAACUCCAAUUCUAAAUCUAAAAUUAGUCUGUCAAUUCUCAAAUCUUGAUUCUCAGACAAAUAAGUAUUUUCUCUAAUAUGUUCAUUCUAUAUUCUUUUUUAUUUUAUGAACAUGAAUGUUUUUGAUGUAGAAUAUUAGAAGUUAGAACUGACCGCUAUAAGAAAACAAACCAUGAAACCAUUCUUUUUUUUAUUUUAUGAACAUGCAUGUUUUGGAUGUAGAAUAUUAGAAGUUGGAACUAACAACUAUAAGAAGACAAGCCAUGAAAAGAUUAUAAAAAGGAUUCUUAAUUUAAAAAUAUAUUGUUUUUACUGUUAACAAUAUAUAUUCAUUUAUUGUAUUUGUUUUUUAUAGAUGGAUAAUGAUUCGACUUUGCAACUGAAUGAUGCUAAUGUUCCUACAACUAAAAAUCCUAAUGAUGAGCGUAAAAAGCAAAAACCUACGAGAUCACCAUCAAAUGUGUGGGAACAUUUUAUCAAGUAUGACGGAGGUAACAAAUGUAAGUGUAAUUAUUGUGACAAAUAUUAUUCUUCUGAAUCAAGAUUUGGGACUAAAAAUAUGCUUAAUCAUUUAAAAUUAAGAUGUCCAAAAUAUAAUAAUAUUGUGGCAGGAGAGGAUUAAAGUAAAAGGUUUUGGAGAAUGCAAAAUAACCAAUAUAUGUGCUCCUAGUAGUCUAGCAGCCAUGGGAUUUAGUAAAGAAGAAUGUAGAAAAGCAUGUGCUACGAUUGUAAUUCUUGAUGAGAUUUUUUUUAGCUCUUGAGAAUGAAGGGUUUCGAUAUUUUUGUAAUGUUACUUGUCCAAAAUUUACUUCUCCUUCUAGAAGAACAAUUGCCCAAUUUGAAAAGGCUGUUUAUUGAAAGUGCCCAAAGAAUUUGAAUAACCACUGAUCGUUGGACUUUUAUUCAAAAUAUCGAUUAUAUAAUGAUCACAACCCAUUUUAUUGAUUAUGAGCGGAAGUUACACAAGAGAAUAUUGAGUUUUUCUACAUUUCUCAACCAUAAAGGAGAGACAAUAAGGAAGUUGGUUAAGAGUUGUUUACUAGAGAGGCGUAUUUAGAGGAUCUUAAAAAUCAUGGUUGAGAAUGCAACUUCAAAUGAUGUGGCUAUAAAUUAUGUUAAAGAGAAACUAAAAAAUUGGAAUGGUGAUGGCUUUGUGUUAGAUGGGGGAAUUUAUACAUAUAAGAUGUUGUGCUCAUAUUUUUAACUUAAUUGUAGCUGAUGGGAUGAAGGAUGUGCAUGAUUCAAUUGCUAGCAUUUGCAAUACCAUGCGACAUGUAAGGUCUUCAACCUCACGGUUACAAAAAUUUAAGAAAUGUUGAGAGCAUUAAAAAGUUGAAAGUAAGAAUAUAGUGACAUUAGAUGUGCCUACAAGGUGGAACUCUACUUACUUGAUAUUAACAAGUGUUUUAAAAUUUUAAAAAGCUUUUGACAAGUUGGUAGACGAUGGUGAACCUUAUAUGAUAUGCUUUUCAGAAGAUGACAGUGGAAAAAAAAAGUGCACUAAAGAAUAUAAACUGGGCUAAUGCUGAAGUAUUUGUGAAAAUUUUGGAGGAUUUUUUAUAGAGUCAUUUUAAAAUCUAGUGCUUCUUUAUCUAUUAUUUCUCACAUGCACUUUUAUGACUUAUAUUCAAUUCAAUCUAAAUUAACAUCUUUUGCUGAAAGUUAAGGCUUUUUAUUGGGUAGUAUGGCUGUUAAUAUGGGAAACAAAAACAUGAGCUAAGUCAAAUCGGUUAUAACCCUUCGCAGUGGUAAAGUUGUCGAGAAACACAUUUUUUAUCCUUGUGAAAUUAGUAAAGAGUCAAUUUUAAAGAAUCAGAAAGAGUUUGAUGAACCUUUGACUCAUGAAGAAAUAACCAACUAUCUUUUUCUACCCUUAUUUCCUUAAGCACUGAUCACGCUAAAGAAAUCAAAGCACAAUGCUGAGAUUUAUAAAGUUUUUAAACAUUGAAAGUCAACAUUCCUUUGUUGACGUCAUUAAAUAGGUACUAUCUUUUACUAAAUUUUUAAAAGUUUUGUGCAUGGUAAAAAGAAAACAUAAAGUGCAAAAGAAAGCUUUUCUAGCAGAAUAGAUAAGUUCCAUUCUCUCAACUAAUAAUACUUUGAAAUACCAGGAUCUUGGCUAUCUAAUUAUUUCUUGCAUGAUUGGGGACCAUAAAAUGAAACAUACUCUACUAGAUCUUGGUGUUAGUGUAAAUCUGCUUCCUUAUUCUAUAUAUCAAUAACUUAAUAUUAGUGAGUUAAAACCAACCAAUAACUAAUAUCAAUAACUUAAUAUUAGUAAAGUUUGGUACUUUACUCUUUUACUUGCCAAUAAGUCGAGUAAAGUACCAAAACAUAUAUUUGAAGAUGUAUUAGUUCGAGUUGGUAAAUUCAUAUAUCUUGUAGAUUUUAUUAUUUUGGAAACUGAGUCAAUUGCUGAUUAACGCAAACAAAAUCUUAUCACAUUAGGUCGACCAUGUAACACUCCACUAUAUUGUUUACUUAAAAAAAAAAUGCUCAAAAACACAGUUACUUUUAAAAUAAUAAUGAAUUCUAAAAGUUUAGCAUAAUCGAACAACACUUUGUUACAGAAAAGUAAGAGUCAUAUAGAGAUUUUUUUGUUUAUUUAAAAACUUAAUUAUUACAUAAAUCCAAAAUACUUAUUUUUAUUAACACAAAGCUAAGCCCAUCAUAAAAUCCCAAGGUCAGUUAUGCCCAUAUGCACUUCGUCUUCGUUAGGACUUGGCGCCAGCUUGCCCUACUCAUCGUUACCUACAAUGUAAGGACUUAGUGAACUAAUGCCUAGUAAGAUAACACUUUGAUGCAUGUAUAAAUUAUGAUGCAUAUGGAUGACCAUAUUAAGCUCUUAAAAUAAAUUUAGAAAAUACAAAACAACUUUAUUUGGGCCCUAGGUAUGUUGCACUACAAGGCUGACACUUUUACUCUUUAAACAAUAUGCCAUGCCCUUGGGCCUCAUUAGUUGAUCUUUUGGGCGUUACGUAUCGCCGUCCCCAAAAGAUUUCUUUCAACUUAGCUUUGGGGGCUAAACGUCUUCUUCAUAGUAUAGUCCAUGAUAUGCAUGCAUCCAAUUUGAAAUUCCUCAAUGCAUAACAAAAUCAACACACAACAUUAUUUAAAAACAAGAGUUUUCAGUAUAGGCUGCAUAGCUGACCAUAGGAUAAUUAAGUACAAGUAUCACAUAUUAGGUGGCAGAGCCGGCCAUAGCAUCACAUAUUAGGCGGCAGAGCCGACCAUGACAUCACAUAUUAGGCGGCAGAGCCGACCAUAACAUCAUAUAUUAGGCGGCAGGGCCGACCAUAUAAAGAUUUAGAAUAUAACUAAUCACACUAUAAUAGCCAUCAUAAUAUAAAGGGAUUGUUAAAACUGAACUUAAGUAUAAAAAUAAUUUUGUCCUUACAUUACAGUUGAAGUGUUAAUUACCUCUUGAUCUUGACUUCUCUAAACCUUUCUAACUUAAGGGUUUUUCUACUCUUGUUAUUAUGACUUAGAAUAGAAGGGAAUGCAAUUUCUAGGUUGUAUUGAAAAUGAGAGGUGGUGGGGGGUAUUUAUAGGAUUUCUUAAAGCUAAUGGAUGGCUAGGAUUUUGCCACCAUAACUCUUGAUCAAUGGUUGAGAUUAACCUUGAUAAAUAACUUACUAAAUUAUAGAAUUCUUUAACUUUCUCUACACUUCUUCUUACAUCAUCACUUAUGUCAUCGCUUACAUCAUCAUUUUCUUAUGUCAUUGCUUAUGAAAUCAUUCUUAAAAUUAAAUAUUAUAAAGUCAAGGAGCUUGUUAGCUUAAAAUAAAUUCUACUAUAUUUAAGAAAAUUGUACCUCACAGACCAUUUCUAGCCACUACUAAUGCUUUGAUUAAUUAUAGGAAUGAAGUGAUGAAUUCGUCUUUCAGCAACAUGAUAUUGGAACUUAAUAUGUUCAAUAUGUAUAAACAAGCUCGCGAUCAAGAAGAUGAAGAUAGUGAGAAUAAAGAUAUUGAGCUCAUUGAACCAAUCAUUAAUGCUUAUUUUCAAGAUGAGAAUUUUACAAACUUUAUGAAAAUUUAUUUUGCUAAUUCUUUUGAAUCAAGUAAGGAAUUAGAAUGUUGUGAGUUUUACUGAUUCUUUUGAAUCAAGUAAGGAAUUAAAAUGUUAUAAUGCUAACUUAUGCAUAGUACUUGAUUCUACAACUAAUAUGCGUUGUACUUGAUUCUAUGCAUGCAUCUAAAGAAAACAUUAGUCAAUUGAAUUUUAAAGACAUGAUGCACCUCGAAGAGACAAAGGCAGAGGAAGAACCGAAGCUCGAAUUGAAGCCCUUACUAGAAGAAUUAAAGUAUUCAUAUCUCAGAGAUCAGCAAACCUGUUCAGUGGUAAUCUCUUCUCAACUUACAAGUGACCAAGAAGGUAAGUCACUGACUAUUCUAAAAUUAAAUAAGACUGCAAUUGGUUGAACCUUGAAAGAUAUUAAGGGCAUUAAUUCUAAACCCUUAUAUGAAAGAAGUGGCAAAGAAUGAGGUCCUUAAACUAUUAGAUAUAGGAAUUAUCGAUUUUAUCUCUACUAGUAAAUGGGUAAGUCUAACACAAGUAGUACCAUAGAAAUCUGAAAUAUUUUUUUUGAAAAAUAGAAAAUGUAAGUUAAUCUCAACAUGAGUCCUAUCUAGUUGGCGCAUGUGCAUUGACUACAAAAAGUUAAAUGAUGCCACUAGAAAAGACUAUUUUUCUCUUUUAUUUUUAGACCAAAUUCUCAAAAGAGUAGCAAGCCCUUACUACUGCUUUCUUGAUGGUUACUUAUCAAAUUCCUAUAGCCUAUAUUCAUAUGCCCAUUUAGAACAUUUGCAUUCAGGAGAAUUUUGGACUCUGUAAUACUCCUAUAACAUUUUAGAUAUGCAUGCAUGCUAAUUAUUUUUAGCGACAUGGUUAAAAAUUAUUUGGAGUUGUUUAUGGAUGAUUUAACUGUAUUGGAAGUUCUUAUGAUAAAUGUCUUGAUAAUUUGGAAAGAGUUUUUGAAAUGGGCAAAGAAAAAAGAUUUGUUUUAAAUUGAGAAAAAUGUCAUUUCAUGACCAUUUUUUUGGAUUGUCUUGGGCCAUGUCAUGUCUGCAAUAGAAUUGAAGUUGUCAAAACUAAAGUUAGAAGUUAUCUCAAAGUUACCAUCACCAAAGAUAAUUAGAGAAGUCUAUUCCUUUUUAUGACAUGUCGGGUUUUAAACCAAGUUUACAAAAAGACUUUAGUUUCAGUUCGAGACCAUUUUGUAACCUUCUGUUAAAAAACACACCAUUUGAGUGGAUUGAAAAUUGUCAAAAUAACCUUUGAAAACAUAAUUAGUCUUUUAAGAUCAGCCUCUAUAAUGCAAUGUAAUACCCCAAUUCUCUCAAGGGUAUUUAAAUCUUUUUAAUUUUUAGUGAUCCUUUUUACCCUAGUAUAAAUAGAAUAAGAUGUCUUUUACAUUAUAAGAGAGAGAGGGAAAGAGAGAUCAGUUGAAAAAAAAAGACAGAAAGGAAGAGAGAGAGAGAGAGAGAGAGAGAGAGAUGGAGAGAAAAGAGAGAAAAGAAAAGAAAAAGAGAAGAAGAAAGUCUUUUUCUUCUUCUUAGUUCUGCCAUAGGCAACACAUGGGAUCAAGUUGUUAUUGUUGGGAGAAGUUUUGAAGGUAAGUAAACUAGAAAUUUAUAUUAUUUUUUUAAUGAAAUUUAUAAAUGGCGUUUUUGCCCUUAUAAAAAGGGUUAUUCAAGGGAUAAUUUUUAGAAAAGGGUUAUUUUUUCAAAUUCAAUAUGGUGUCUUAAAACUCCCUAUAAAUUCAUAAUGUUUGCCCUUCUAUAACCCUAAGUCCACGACACUUCUUCUUCUUCUUCUUCUUUUUUUCUUUUCUUUUCUCUCUUUUCUCUCCACCCCUCUCUCUCUCUCUCUCUUUUUCUUUUCCUUUCUGUCUUUUUUUUUUCAACUGAUCUCUCUUCCUUUCUCUCUCUUAUAAUGGAAAAGAUAUCUUAUUCUAUUUAUACUAGAGUAAAAAGGAUCACUAAAAACUAAAAAGACUUAAAUACCCUUGGGAGAAUUGGGGUAUUACAUGCAAUCUCCUUAUUCAUCUUUACUUCUUGAACUAAUGUGUAAUGCAAGUGAUUAUGCCAUUGGAGCUGUUUUGAGAUAAAGAAAGGAAAAUAAGCCCUUUGUUAUUUAUUAUGCAAGUAAAACAUUGAAUAGUGCCCAAAUGAAUUACACAACAAUUGAAAAAUAACUACUUAUAAUAUUUACAUUGGACAAAUUUUGAUCGUAUUUAAUUGCUUCAUCUAUUAUUGUUUAUUUUGAUCAUACUACUAUUAGAUAUUUAAUGUUUAAACAAAAUGACAAGCCAUGAUUAAUACGAUGCAUUUUGUUACUCCAAGAAUUCAACUUUAAAAUCAAAGACAAAAAGGGUGCCGAAAGUAUAUUGCAGAUCACAUGUCAAGACUUACAAAUAACUCUUUAAUUGAUACAAAUACCCAUAAAUGAUUAUUUCCUUAAUGAACUUUUAUUUUUUAUACCCUUUAUGCCUUGCUAUGCUAACAUUGUUAAUUGUCUUGCAACAAGUGAAAUGUUAGCUUAUUAGAACUCUCAAGACAAGAAGAAAUUCUUAAUAGAGGUGAAAAGUUUUUAUUAGGAUGAUACACAAUUGUUCUAGUAGUGUUCUGAUUAAAUUUUCUAGAAAUACAUACCGGACGACAAGGUAAGUAGCAUCAUUCAUUUUUGUCAUUUUAAAGUAUAUAGUGGCCACUUUUCUUCAAAGAAGACAAGUGUAAAAAUAGUGUAGUGUAGAUUUUAUUGGCCUAUGUUAUUCAAAUAUUCAUAAUUUGUAAAAUGUGUAAGAAUUGUCAAAUGUUAGGGUCAUCUUUUGAGUAUCAUAUUGUUUCUCACUUAAGCAUGCUGUUUGAAAAUUAUAUUUCAUUGUACCAUUUUUAAUAUACGUCAUCAGUACCUUAAUUAGACAAAUCCUCUUCAAUCAUAUUGGCAAACUUCUAUAUGUGAAAUUUCACCUAAGAAGCUUGAUACAAAUUUGUAAAUCACAUCCUGUUUGGGAUUCACGAUCACCACUAUUAGUUUUCCAUGUCGACAAUCUAGAUAGACUAAUUAGGGCAAUAGAGGGUGGUACAUAUGACAUUCAAUUACAAGUUGAGGAUAAUUCGAUGAACGAACAAUGGUUAGUUAAAUGUUUGAGUAUAUCUUUUUUUCACAUUGUGUGUUUUUACUUUUAUUGUUUGCUUUCAUGUUUGUCUUUUUGUUUUUGCUAGAUUAAUUAUUUUCUUAGAUGCGUUGUCAUUUGUUACCCUAUUUAAGUGAUAGAUAAUGGUUUUCGUGACUAUUAAGGUCAAUUCCUUUAAUUUCUCACAAUAACUAAUAUUCUCAAGUCAAAGUAUCGAUAGGAACUCAAUUCUCGUAAGCUUCAUGAGCGAUUUUCCUCACUCCCUCAUAAGUUGCACUCCUCAUAAUAUAAAGCUCGAUCCGAACAUUUGCAACUACUUAUAAUGAAUAACAUCCUUGCCAAUAUUCGCUGGUUAAUCGAAGCAAAAAGACGGUUGGCAGGUGAAUUACCUCCUAAAUUUGCUACCUACAUUCUUGAUUAUGGGGAAGGAAACUAUUCAAGAAAAUGAAGACCAAAAUGGCUCUAUGUUUAUUGUUAUAAGUAUGUCUAAACAAACUACAGUAGACGUCCUUGUACAUCUUUGGGAAUUGUGUCAAAUAAUGGGGAAGACAAGAUUCAAUUCAUUAGGAAUGACUUGACUAAAGAGUUGUUGGACGAUGUUCUUUCGUCUCUUGAGAUGCAUAACAAUGGAUACGUAUAGAAUGCAAUUGCCCAAUUAUGGGCAUUAUUCCAAAAAGAAUGUGCACGGUGUAGUCUCAAGAAUCUCAUUAUAAAUAAUCUUGUUUGUUAGUUUAUAACAAAACUGGAUGGGAAGCCUAUCCUCAACCCAUAGAGGGGAUUCAAGCCAUUUUUAAAUAUAAAGUUAGAUGAAAAUGUGGGCCACAGUCACUAUUACUAGUAAAUAUUGUUUUAGUUUACUGUUCUUUUAUUAGUGGUAUGAUCGUUUUUAAUGGCGUGAUUUUACAUUUAAUCUUUUUUUUUUGCUGUUUGCUUUUGAAUCUGGGGCCACACACUUCAUCCGUCAAUUGACAAAUACACCAACUCAUAUACAUAUGUGUAUUAUUAUGUCUAUCUCCAAUGUCUUUAAAUACAAGCUUCUUUUUCAAACACUCACAAAUUGGUUUUGAGAAUUGUCGCCAUAGUGGCAACUUUUGAGUAAGUAGUUCAAGAACUGUUUGUGUGCUUUUUGAGUUUCAUUAUGGAAAAUACUAAGAGUUCGUUGACGCAGCUAUAAAUAUUCGUCGAGUGUUAAUAGAGAAAUUGAGAAAAAUAUACACCUAUUACAUGGAAGAAGAGUUCAAGGGUUAUCAAUGCUUGUCUUAGAAGUUUCUUAUAUUAAAGGAAGCCAAAUGUUAGGCAUAAUCCCAAAAGCCCUAAAACCUCUAAGAUUUUUGUCUGGCAACCAACUAGAGAGGAGUUAUUCGUCUCAAGUAUGCAAAAGAGAAUAUCCAAAAUGCCGACGCUUUUAUUUUCUUGCUAUAAGAUCUUGCAACUCUAGGGGCAUUAAUUACAUUUGCAUCUUGGGGCCAUUUAAACAUUCAUAAAAAACUCAUCGGUUUAUUAAAUAUUAAUAACUUUUAUGAUUAUUUGAUCGCAUUUCUUAACCAUGCAAUUAAGAGUUAUUUCGUUUUAGUAAUAGUGAAAAAAUUCUUUAUUUGUGUUCUUACUGCUAAUUAGUUAUUUGAUCCUUUAUAAGCUUACAGACCAAAGCCAGAUUCUAAGACCUUUGCAAUCGAUCGGUCUACUCAUGAUGGUGGCAAUAACCCUAGUAAAACGCACAAAUUAGAUUUUAACUCUCAAUUUGUAGAUAUUUUCUACUACAGUAUUAAGAUGAUGUCUUCUAAACUCUACUUUUUUCCUAUAAGAUAUUGAAGACAAUAUCUCGUUCUAGUUGGGUAGAGGGAAUAGUUGAUAAUUAUGGAAUAAAUGAUAGCUGUGUAUGUUGUAUUGGCAAUGUCGUUAAGAUGCACCAAAUUUAAAAUCUUACUACUAAUAUAAAUAACUAGUACAGAACGAGUAAGGAUCGAUCCCACAAAGACUAUGCUAGUUGUAUUUAGGGAUAUUAUCAUUUUACCACUAAAGUUAUUCUGACAUAUCAUGUUAGUUCCACGGUUUGGCAAACAUAGUAUUUUAACACCAAAUGUUUGCACUGUUAUCAGUUUACCACCAUUCCGUUAGAAAAACGUUAAUGUUUAACAGAAAAUGAGUUAAAAGUCGAUUUUACCCCCAAGAGAAUAAAGAUAAUUUUACCCUCUGAAAAGAAAGAAAUAAUGAACAAAAAUAAGAUUUAGAAAACUAAAAAUUGUAAUUAAUAAAAAAUACUGAAUAAUAUGUAGAAUUCCGAUAAACGGCAAAGAACAAUUAAUAAAAAUUUAUAUUUCAAAAUUAAUAUUAUAACCUAUGAAAUUCAAGUAUUAAUCACAACUAAAAAUAAUAACAAUUUAUAAUAACAAUAACAAUUAAUAAGAUUUAGAAAACAAUUGAAAUUUCUAAUUAAUAAAAAUAAUGAAGAAUAUGCAAAAUUAUGACAAAUAACAAAAAUAACAAUAAUAAAUUCUGCUUCAAAAUUAAUAUUAUAAUCUAUGAAAUUCAAGUAUUAAUCACANNNNNNNNNNNNNNNNNNNNNNNNNNNNNNNNNNNNNNNNNNNNNNNNNNNNNNNNNNNNNNNNNNNNNNNNNNNNNNNNNNNNNNNNNNNNNNNNNNNNNNNNNNNNNNNNNNNNNNNNNNNNNNNNNNNNNNNNNNNNNNNNNNNNNNNNNNNNNNNNNNNNNNNNNCAAACUUUCUAUAUGUGAAAUUUCACCUAAGAAGCUUGAUACAAAUUUGUAAAUCACAUCCUGUUUGGGAUUCACGAUCACCACUAUUAGUUUUCCAUGUCGACAAUCUAGAUAGACUAAUUAGGGCAAUAGAGGGUGGUACAUAUGACAUUCAAUUACAAGUUGAGGAUAAUUCGAUGAACGAACAAUGGUUAGUUAAAUGUUUGAGUAUAUCUUUUUUUCACAUUGUGUGUUUUUACUUUUAUUGUUUGCUUUCAUGUUUGUCUUUUUGUUUUUGCUAGAUUAAUUAUUUUCUUAGAUGCGUUGUCAUUUGUUACCCUAUUUAAGUGAUAGAUAAUGGUUUUCGUGACUAUUAAGGUCAAUUCCUUUAAUUUCUCACAAUAACUAAUAUUCUCAAGUCAAAGUAUCGAUAGGAACUCAAUUCUCGUAAGCUUCAUGAGCGAUUUUCCUCACUCCCUCAUAAGUUGCACUCCUCAUAAUAUAAAGCUCGAUCCGAACAUUUGCAACUACUUAUAAUGAAUAACAUCCUUGCCAAUAUUCGCUGGUUAAUCGAAGCAAAAAGACGGUUGGCAGGUGAAUUACCUCCUAAAUUUGCUACCUACAUUCUUGAUUAUGGGGAAGGAAACUAUUCAAGAAAAUGAAGACCAAAAUGGCUCUAUGUUUAUUGUUAUAAGUAUGUCUAAACAAACUACAGUAGACGUCCUUGUACAUCUUUGGGAAUUGUGUCAAAUAAUGGGGAAGACAAGAUUCAAUUCAUUAGGAAUGACUUGACUAAAGAGUUGUUGGACGAUGUUCUUUCGUCUCUUGAGAUGCAUAACAAUGGAUACGUAUAGAAUGCAAUUGCC